AUGCAGUAACUCAAAAUAUUAAUUGCCAGACAGAUAUAUGCCAACCAUUCCGUGGCUUGAAUUAAACCUUUCACAGCUUCUGUCACCUUUGCCUUACAUACACCUGAACAACUGAGAUUAUCACUUACCCCGACCAGGAGUAAGCUGGAAAUUUUUUCCAGGCCUGUCCGACAUUUUUCCUCCUGAACUGUUUUGGUUGUCUUUCCUGUGAAGUUUUCCCGCCACCUCCUUCCCCUCCGAACAGUAAUCUUAGUAAUGGAUUAACUCUGAUUUUAAUGUACACUUUCAUUGGUUUGUAUUAACAUGAUUGAUUUAUGGUUGUUUGAAUAUUGUGGGCAUAUUGUUAAAUGUACGUAUUAAAAAAAAAAUAGACAGCACGUCACUUAUUAAAGUGUCUGUAUUGCUUAUCAGGUAAAACAUGAAGCACCUGAACAUAAAGUGAUGGGCCUGGAGAACUGAAAGGCCAGUGGUGGAUGUGAGAUAAAGCUACGUGAAGUAGAAAGCAGGGUGACAAGAAGCAACAACAACGUGGGGCAACUAAGAUCAAUGGAGGAGUCAGAUACAGCUAGAUCAGGACAAACAAGAAAGACAUAAAACACCAGAAGAUUAGUGGAGGAAGUGAAAUACAUUAAACAUGGCAGGUUCGAGGAUGAAGGACAAAGGACCCAGGACAGAGGACCCAGGACAGAGGACCCAGGACUCAGAACAGAGGAUCAAGGAUAGGACUGAGGGCUGACAACUGGGGAUCAAGGACAGUGGAUGAAAGCAAGCCUUGAAUGAUGAAUUUUCAUAAGUUGAAUUAUAUAUAUAUUAAGGUACAUGAGAUAUUACUAGCAGCAGAGAUGGCACGGUGCACCUUGCCCUGAGGGUUUUUCUCCGGGUACUCCGGUCUCCCUCACUCCUGAAAAACCAAUAUUUCCAAAUUUCAAUGUAACAAAAUUGCGAACACAUUGCUGUGGGCCAAUUGAGAUGAAAAUUUCUUUGAGUACUCAAGGUAAACAUUAGGUGCACCUUGCCCUGAGGGUUUUUCUCCGGGUACUCCGGUUUCCCUCACUCCUAAAAUUCAAUAUUUCCAAAUUCCAAUUUAACAGAAUUGGCGACACAUUGCUGUGGGCCAAUUGAGAUGAAAAAUUCUCUCUGUUUAUUUCCUAGUUACAUGUGCACAUGUGGUUUCACAGUCUCCUUUGCAGCUGUUAUUUAAGUCAAUGAGCAAAUUGGGAAGUCACUUUCUUUAUCUUCUGUCUUUUUCAAAGAUAUCUAUUUUAAUCAUAGGUAAAGGGAAAUUCCCAAGUCAAUCAAUCAAUCAAUCAUUCAAACUCAUUCAAUCAAUCAAACAAUCACUCAAUAACUCAAUAGUUAAGAUAAAAAGCCCAGUAUAUGCAGCUAACUAAAAUUUAUAGCAAUUACUGACCUUUAAAUUUAUCUAGUUGCAAUUUGAAGAUCUUUAACAGACAUAAAUUCCAAUACCACUUUGAUGCACAUGUAACUAGUACCCAUAUAAACAGAGUAUUGAACUGACCAGUGUGUUGUGUGGGUGUUGUUCAUCUGCAAAUAAGUGGCUUGCUUGCAGAUUCUCUCUAGGGGUAUUCUAAGACUUUAUUGUCACAUGUUCCAUGAAUUAUAUAAUUAUUUUGAAACCAAAAUAUAUUCCCUUUCAUUAUACUAGAGCCGGAAAAUUUUGCCAAUAGCAAUCAUUAUUACUACAAAUUAAUUGAAACUCGAAUACUGGAAAAUCUGUUUCUGAUGAUUUAUUUCUGUUCCUAAAAGAAAUUGAUUUCACACUUUUUUGGCAUAAUUAUGUACAGGCAUUUUGGUGUACCACUAAGGCAGUCAGACACGGCAGGAUAUAAUCAUUACAGUAAAUUUGAUUUUACAGAAGCCACUUAUUUGCUCUUGAAAACCUAGUUCCUUCUCCUCACAAGAUUCCUAUUGAGCAGCUUUAUGGUGAAAUCUGUACCUUUUUUGUAUUGUUCACUUCCAUUGGUUUUCCUCAGACUUGAAAAGCAACAUCUUUUGCCAACAUUAACAUAAGAAACCUUUUAAGGGGUGAUGGGGGAUUGGAAUGUUCUCUUCAUUUUGAUGUCUGAUUUUUAAAAUAUAUCAUAUUUAAAAUACUAUUGCCACAGUGCGAAGCUAAUUACCUUUCCUAACAAGAAUUUUUCCUGUUUUUAGUGUUAAAAAAAAAACAUUCUUGUAAUCCAAAUUGUUUUGUUUUGGGAAAGAAGCUGCUCAUUAGGAAACUUGUGUUCAAGACAAUAUUUUACUUGUUUUUUUUGUAGUUUCAAUGUUCAUCAUGCGUUAAAAUCAUCGGCCAAGUCAGUUUACACUGAUCACAAUUAUUUUCUUUGGACAGGCAACAUUUUAAUUUUUUUAUUGAAUUAUUUUGUUUUAUUUAGAUCAAUAGCAUGAUGGUGCUUGGAACUAUAGUAUUGCUUAUUAUCACCUUUGAACAAAGGAAGCUUCCAAAAACUAUCCUUUUGUGGUAAUGCAAGUAAAUUCAAUUGGCUGAUCAAGAAAUUAAUAAUUAAAAUUGAAUGCAAUACCAAUUGGCAGCUUUUCACAAAUUUAUUCAGUUUAUUUAGUUUUAUACAAAAUCAUUAUUCUUCACUUGAUCAGUCAAAAAAAUUAGACUGAGCUAAGUUUUUCCAAAAUAAUUUAUUUAUCGUAGAUUCAAUUAUUGAAUUAAGAAAUCAUAAAUCAAUGCUUAGGAUUUUGCAACUUUAUGUUAUGUUUUCCUUGUCAUACAAAAUUAAUAUUUUUUACACGAUCAGUUUUAAAUGACAUGUUUUGACUUAAGUUCUGCUGAAAUAAUUUAUUCAAAUUAAUUCAAUUGUCUGAUUGAGAAAUAAUUGACUGCAAUACCAAUCGGUAGGAGUUCACAAUUUUAUUCAAUUUAUUCAACGUCAUCAAAAGCUAUGUUUUACUCGAUCAGUUUUAAACGACAAAUUCUGAGCUUAGUUUUUCUAAAAUAAUUUCUUUGCCUCCUUUGUUUAAAGGUGCCACAGCAAGCUCAUUAGCACAGAAGUAAACAAGUACU
rnacentral:lncRNA from 1 species